rnacentral:rRNA from 1 species
AGCGAACGCUGGCGGCAGGCCUAACACAUGCAAGUCGAACGAAGUCUUCGGACUUAGUGGCGGACGGGUGAGUAACACGUGGGAACGUGCCUUUAGGUUCGGAAUAACUCAGGGAAACUUGAGCUAAUACCGAAUGUGCCCUUCGGGGGAAAGAUUUAUCGCCUUUAGAGCGGCCCGCGUCUGAUUAGCUAGUUGGUGAGGUAAAGGCUCACCAAGGCUACGAUCUGUAGCUGGUCUGAGAGGAUGACCAGCCACAUUGGGACUGAGACACGGCCCAAACUCCUACGGGAGGCAGCAGUGGGGAAUCUUGCGCAAUGGGCGAAAGCCUGACGCAGCCAUGCCGCGUGGAUGAUGAAGGUCUUAGGAUUGUAAAAUCCUUUCACCGGUGAAGAUAAUGACUGUAGCCGGAGAAGAAGCCCCGGCUAACUUCGUGCCAGCAGCCGCCGUAAGAC